GGGUCAGCGACUUACAUUUUGUAGCGAGGUUAACCGUAUAGGGGGAGCCGUAGGGAAACCGAGUCUUAACUGGGCGUCUAGUUGCAAGGUGUAGACCCGAAACCGGGUGAUCUAGCCAUGGGCAGGUUGAAGGUUGAGUAACAUCAACUGGAGGACCGAACCCACUAACGUUGCAAAGUUAGGGGAUGACCUGUGGCUGGGGGGUGAAAGGCCAAUCAAACUCGGAGAUAGCUGGUUCUCCCCGAAAGCUAUUUAGGUAGCGCCUCGGACGAAUACUACUGGGGGUAGAGCACUGUUUGGACUAGGGGGUCAUCCCGACUUACCAACUCCAUGCAAACUCCGAAUACCAGUAAGUACUAUCCGGGAGACACACGGCGGGUGCUAACGUCCGUCGUGAAGAGGGAAACAACCCCAGACCGCCGGCUAAGGUCCCAAAGUUCUGGUUAAGUGGGAAACGAUGUGGGAAGGCUCAGACAGCUAGGAUGUUGGCUUAGAAGCAGCCAUCAUUUAAAGAAAGCGUAAUAGCUCACUAGUCGAGUCGGCCUGCGCGGGAAGA
rnacentral:rRNA from 1 species